rnacentral:sRNA from 1 species
GGUGAGUUGCUGCGGGGCGCCUCUGCGGGGCCAGGGGAAGUGCCAGCCCAAGCUCCGAGGUCCACCUGGCAUAGUGCAGUGAUGCCCCUCCUUGCCCCCGCCGCAGCCACGGUGUUCCUGGAGAUCUGGAAGCGGCAGCGCGCCCGCGUGGUCCUGCACUGGGACCUGUACGUGUGGGACGAGGAACAGGAGGAAAUGGCACUUCAGCUCAUUAACUGCCCCGACUACAAGCUCCGGCCAUACCAGCACUCCUACCUACGCAGCACCGUCAUCCUCGUCCUGACCCUGCUCAUGAUCUGCCUCAUGAUCGGCAUGGCCCACGUCCUGGUGGUCUACCGCGUCCUGGCCUCCGCGCUCUUCAGCAGCUCGGCCGUGUCCUUCCUGGAGGAGCGGGUGACCACGGCCGUGGUAGUGACCGGGGCUCUGGUGCACUAUGUGACCAUCGUCAUCAUGACCAAGGUGGGGCCGGGAGCAGGGCAGGCCCGAGCUGGGGGGUCCACCGGAGCCCCAGUGAGCCCAUUCGGUGCCCUCCUCCGCAGAUCAACAGGCGCGUGGCCCUGAAGCUUUGUGACUUCGAGAUGCCCAGGACCUUCUCGGAGCGAGAGAGCAGGUUCACCAUCCGCUUCUUCACGCUGCAGUUCUUCACCCAUUUCUCGUCUCUCAUCUACAUCGCCUUCAUCCUGGGCAGGAUCAACGGCCACCCCGGGAAGUCCACGCGCCUGGCGGGCUUGUGGAAGCUGGAAGAGUGCCACGCCAGCGGCUGCAUGAUGGACCUCUUCGUGCAGAUGGCCAUCAUCAUGGGCCUGAAGCAGACGCUCAGCAACUGCGUCGAGUACCUGGUCCCGUGGGUGACCCACAAGUGCCGCUCUCUGCGGGCCUCCGAGUCCGGGCACCUGCCCCGGGACCCCGAGCUCAGGGACUGGCGGCGCAACUACCUUCUGAACCCGGUCAACACCUUCAGCCUGUUCGACGAGUUCAUGGAGAUGAUGAUCCAGUACGGCUUCACCACCAUCUUCGUGGCUGCCUUCCCGCUGGCGCCGCUGCUCGCGCUCUUCAGCAACCUCGUGGAGAUCCGCCUGGACGCCAUCAAGAUGGUCUGGUUGCAGCGGCGCCUGGUGCCGCGCAAGGCCAAGGACAUCGGUCAGACCGGGCGGGCGCAGGAUGGGCGGGAACUGGGCGGCCUCAGGCCUGUGGGCUUCCCGCUGGCCAGUCCAGCUCACCUGGAGAAAAAUAAUCUCUCGGAUCUCACGCCGCAGACAGCCCCCAGCCCUUCUCCGACGGCCUCGGAUGCGGGUUGAGCCUGGGUGGGAAAGUCCCAGGAGUGGGCGGGGCCGAGCGCUUUGUAGGCUCCUCCCACAAACCGUCAGGAUCUCAGAGGGGCUUGACGCCCCCAAGGGGGACCCAGGUUCUGCCAGUGGCUGGGGCAGGAACAGAGCAGCCGGCCUCUGUCCCAAGACUGGCCUCGCUGAGACGGACAGGCAGCAGGGGAGCGACGGGGGCUGGGGCGCUGGAUGUGGGGAAAGGGAGAGAGGUGUUAGGGAGGCCCCCAGUCUCGGGCCCGGGUUACAAGGUCUUACCCUGGGGUGGGAACCCAGGAGGUGGAGUGGCUGGGGGGCACAGCUGAGAAGUUCAGGAAGAUGGAGGAUGAGGAUUCCCAGGUUCCUCCCUGUCCAUGUCAGGGUGAGGGGUGCAGGAGCGCAGAGGCCAUGCUCUGCCAUGGCUGGGGACUUCCUUGUGAAUACUGCAGCCCUAGGGCUGCAAGGGGACACCACGCACAGAGACACGGCAGGCCCCGUGUUGGCCGGGGGUGGGGGUGGGGGCAGAACCAGCCGAGGGACACCACGCAGAGACACGGCAGGCCCCGUGUUGGCCGGGGGUGGGGGUAGGGGCAGAACCAGCCGAGGGAUGCUGAGUCAGACCGCUUGCCCACUGCUCUGGUGCAGGGACCUGGCUGCAGGUGCUGGAGACCAUCGGUGUGCUGGCGGUCAUUGCCAAUGGGAUGGUCAUUGCCUUCACAUCUGAGUUCAUCCCCCGAGUGGUCUACAAGUACCGCUAUAGCCCAUGCCUGAAAGAAGGCAACUCUACCGUCGACUGCCUCAAGGGCUACGUCAACCACAGCCUGUCCGUCUUCCACACCAAGGACUUCCAGGACCCUGAUGGGAUUGAGGGCUCAGAAAACGUGACUCUGUGCAGGUUUGGAACUCCCCAUCCCCCAAGAAUGCCCUCUGAACUCCUGACCCCUGACCUCAGGUACUUCCUUACCCCAGAUACAGGGACUACCGCAAUCCCCCCGAUUACAACUUCUCCGAGAAGUUCUGGUUCCUCCUGGCCAUCCGCCUGGCCUUCGUCAUCCUCUUUGAGCACGUGGCCUUGUGCAUCAAGCUCAUUGCCGCCUGGUUCGUGCCCGACAUCCCUCAGUCGGUGAAGAACAAGGUUCUGGAGGUGAAGUACCAGAGGCUGCGUGAGAAGAUGUGGCAUGGAAGGCAGAGGCUGGGCGGGGUGGGGGCAGGCUCUCGGCCCCCGAUGCCUGCCCAUCCCACCCCAGCAUCCAUCUUCAGUGCCAGGAGCACAGACGUGUAGGGCCAGAGCCCGUCCAGAGGCCACCAGGAGCUGACAGUGCCACCACCAGCACCUCCCACAAGCCCACCGCUGUGCGUGUUGAGGGGUGCCGUGAGAAGUCUGUGCCCAUGUGGGGCUGCAGGAGUCCCCUGUAUGUUCAGGGCUGUGAGCUGCCACCCUAUUCUGCCUGCUUCGUCUUUGUGGGGGCUCUCAGGCUUGGCACAGCCCUGACUUGAACUCUGGGUGACCCCGGGCACCCACAGAACUGGGAGUGAGGGCUCCUCAGGCAGCCACAAGGCAGGAAAACUGGCACAAGUUUCCUGGGCCUCCCUCUGACUUCUGGGCGCCAGAUCCUGCCGUGCCCCCAUCCUGGCUGUUGGGGGUGUCCUGAGCCCACCUCGCUGGCCUGUUCCCUUCAGCCAGCCCCAGUUUCUGUAAUAAAAUUAAACCUGUCUGUCU